rnacentral:rRNA from 1 species
UCCCCUCCAUUUAAGGGAACCCCGGGAACUGGGGAAAUACCCCAUAGACUAUAGAUGCUGGAAUGCUUUGUAGUUGAAAGGUCCGCCGCCAUAGGAUGGGUCUGCGGCCGAUUAGGUUGUUGUUGGGGUAACGGCCCAACAAGCCUGUAAUCGGUACGGGUUGUGGGAGCAAGAGCCCGGAGAUGGAUUCUGAGACACGAAUCCAGGCCCUACGGGGCGCAGCAGGCGCGAAAACUUUACAAUGCGGGAAACCGUGAUAAGGGAACUCCGAGUGCCCGUAAAAUCGGGCUGUCCAUCUGUUUAAAUAACAGGUGAAGAAAGGGCCGGGCAAGACCGGUGCCAGCCGCCGCGGUAAUACCGGCGGCUCGAGUGGUGGCCACUAUUACUGGGCUUAAAGCGUUCGUAGCUGGUCUGUUAAGUCUCUGGGGAAAUCUACUGGCUUAACCAAUAGGCGUCUCAGGGAUACUGGCAGACUAGGGACCGGGAGAGGUGAGAGGUACUCCAGGGGUAGGAGUGAAAUCCUGUAAUCCUUGGGGGACCACCUGUGGCGAAGGCGUCUCACCAGAACGGCUCCGACAGUGAGGGACGAAAGCUGGGGGAGCAAACCGGAUUAGAUACCCGGGUAGUCCCAGCCGUAAACGAUGCGCGUUAGGUGUAUCGGUGACCACGAGUCACCGAGGUGCCGAAGAGAAAUCGUGAAACGUGCCGCCUGGGAAGUACGGUCGCAAGGCUGAAACUUAAAGGAAUUGGCGGGGGAGCAC